AGGAGGAUCUGAAGUAAAUAUUCGUAACAAGGUCUCCGUAGGUGAACCUGCGGAGGGAUCAUUACCGAGUUCGUGCCCCGCAGCGGGGUAGAUCUCCCACCCUUGUGUAUCUUCGUACCGUUCUGUUGCUUUGGCAGGCCGCUCAGGCUUCGGCUCGACCACCGGCUCCCCCAGGGGGGCGGGUGUGCGCCUGCCAGAGGACCCCCCCAACUCUUGUUUGUCAGUGUCGUCUGAGUACUAUAACCAAUCGUUAAAACUUUCAACAACGGAUCUCUUGGUUCUGGCAUCGAUGAAGAACGCAGCGAAAUGCGAUAAGUAAUGUGAAUUGCAGAAUUCAGUGAAUCAUCGAAUCUUUGAACGCACAUUGCGCCCCUUGGUAUUCCGAGGGGCAUGCCUGUUCGAGCGUCAUUUCAACCCCUCAAGCUCUGCUUGGUGUUGGGCCGCGCUGCUGCUCCGGCGGCGGGCCCUAAAAUCAGUUGGCGGUGCCGUCGCGGCUCCAAGCGUAGUAGCAUACCUCUCGCUCUGGAAACCCGGCGGUUGCCUGCCCCCUAAACCAGAUUAAAUUCUCACGGUUGACCUCGGAUCAGGUAGGGAUACCCGCUGAACUUAAGCAUAUCAUAAGCCCGGAGGAA
rnacentral:rRNA from 1 species